rnacentral:rRNA from 1 species
CUACGGGAGGCAGCAGUCGGGAAUUUUGGGCAAUGGCCGAAAGGGCUGACCCAGCAACGCCGCGUGAGUGAAGAAGGCCUUCGGGUUGUAAAGCUCUGUUGCCCGUGAAGAACGGUACGGACAGGAAAUGGUCGGUACUUGACGGUAGCGGGUGAGGAAGCCCCGGCUAACUACGUGCCAGCAGCCGCGGUAAUACGUAGGGGGCGAGCGUUGUCCGGAUUUAUUGGGCGUAAAGGGCGUGUAGGCGGUCUGCUAAGUCGGGGGUGAAAAUCCAGGGCUCAACCCUGGGACUGCCUCCGAUACUGGCGGACUUGAGUACUCUAGAGGGCAGUGGAAUUCCCGGUGUAGCAGUGAAAUGCGUAGAGAUCGGGAGGAACACCAGUGGCGAAGGCGACUGCCUGGGGAGAAACUGACGCUGAGGCGCGAAAGCUGGGGGAGCAAACGGGAUUAGAUACCCCGGUAGA